GGGAGGGACGCUGUAUUUUUAAAAUUAUGUUAAAGGUGAGAACUCUGGCUCCCACUUCUAGUGCUGCCUUGGACUCAUGGCCCAGGGAGUCAGGAUAGCUCAAGGGGUGCAUUCCUCGCAGGCAAGCUUCCAAACAAGGUACUGGUAGGAUGGAUGAGGUCGUGGUCUAGGAGAAGGAAGGCCUCUGCCAUUUUACGGUAGUUCUUCUCCAUGAGAAAUAAAGAGUUCCAGCAGAGGGCAGUAAUGUCUCUCUUAAAUUGUAUCUCAUUACCAGAGUGUGUUUGGGAGCUCUGGAUCAGCCUACAGCAAUGUCUUUCAAAACUUUUUUUUUUUUUAAACCAUGACACACAAUAAGAAAUGCAUUUUACAUUGUAUCUCAGUAUGCAUAUGCACAAACAUACAUAUAAUAUUUGAAAAAACAUCAUUUAAUGCUUACAAUAUGAAAUGCACUUUAAUGUAGUCUAUUCCAUUCAUUUUAAAGAACAUUCUAUGCUAAUUAAGAAUAUUCAGAUUAUGACCUCCUAAAUUGAUUUCUAGGCUUACUAACCUACCGUUUGAAAAGUACUGACCUUGAGGGCUCUGGCUUUUGUUCUUUCAUAUACAUCAUUUGCUGGGACAACUUUAUUGAGACCAGAGAAUGUGUACAUUUCAAAAUAAAAACAACAGUUGACAUCAUGAAUGAAUAUUAUGUGCUAUACCCUAUGUAAAACUUUUUGAGAACUCUCUCAUGUAAUUCAACAGCAUUUUGAGGAAGAUACUAUUGUUGUUAUCUCAGUUGAGGUUUAGAGAAUGAUAUGUCCGAAGUUAGUACAUGGUUGAGGUGAGAUUUGUCUCCCAGAUGCUGGAACUAGAAUGAAGAAACUAUUAUGUUAUAUUGUGCAUCUAAGUCAGGGGACACAUCUUUGGGACAGAUACCACCACUAAUAUGAUCAUGAAGAGAAGCAAGGUUAAAACUUGUUUCAGCAGCCUGGAAUGCUAGGCUGAAAUCAAUAUGGUGAUUCUGGUGGGUCUAGAAUAGGGUUGGAGAGAACUGAUUUUCUAGGGGAUCUUGAGAAAAUACGGAGGUUUUCAUGGAUUACAGUUAAGUAGCUCAGUUGGUAAAGAAUCCACCUGCAAUGUGGGAGACCUAGGUUCAAUCCCUGGGUUGGGAAGAUCCCCUGGAGAAGGGAAAGGCUAUCCAGUCCAGUAUUCUGGCCUAGAGAAUUCCAUGAACUGUAUGGGGUUCUAAAGAGUCAGACACGAUUGAGCCACUUUCACUUUCACCCACUUUCAAUAGUCCAGAAGAAAUGAUAGACCAUCUUUCCCAGAUAGAAAAUGAGAGGAGAAAUAGAAAGCUUAUAGUCACGCAAUGGCGAUACAUCAGAACAAAUCAUAAAUUCGAUUUUAAAGAUUCCAGGUGAGGAAUGGGAUGAAUUUGCAGGAGACCCCAGGGUCAAUAGUAGAAGACUGUGGACACCUGAGUAAGUGAGACAGCCAGGUAGAUGGAAUUUUGUGGUACUUGAAAAGGCAGCGCAGAAGGGAGGUCACUGACAUGAGAGAGUUUACCUGCUUUUGAUAUCCUGGAAAGCUGGUGGGGAUACCCUUAUCUUCCAAAUGUGUCUUAUGAAACAAAUAGCCAGAGAGAAGCCUCUGUUCAUGUUGAGAUGCUUUAAUUCAUAUGCAUGAAGACUGUUAGGAACAGGGUUGUUGUUGUUGUUUUUUAACCAACUCACAAUAUUUAGGAACACAUUUAUUCUCUUAAACUUCUAUAUUAUUUUUAUUUGGGAUUGCAAAUUUUUGCCUAUGCAAAUUUUUACCUACUGCAAAUUCUUUAUGGAAAGAAUUUUAAGUAGGUGAUCUCUUCUGUUUUUGAUUCUGACAUUUUAGAUCUAGAAUAUGAUUUUUAAACAUGAUUUAUAUGACUCAAUUACUUUACCUCUUGCAUGGGCCAAAUAUUAUGUGUGAAAGUAACAUUUUUGUUUUUGAACUUUCUUGUAAAUUGAGAGCUUUGAUGUUUGUUCAUCUGGGAGUAUAUUGGACAUCUGCUUCACAGAGAUGCUCAUAAGAACACCCCUUAUGUCUGCACAUUGCCCCAGACAGCAGUGACACUAGCCACAUCUGCUUUCUUCCCCAGGGGGACUGCCAAGGGCCAGGCUGAAAGAACAGCUGCAUGGUAAUCCUGACAACCAAUUACUUAUUCAUGAAACAAACAAAACAGAUUUUUGUCUAUCCUAGAACAUGUAACUUUGGGACUGUACUGAGCAGAGAAAAGGAUGGCCAAACAGAGAGAUGACAUGGAGGAUCUGCAUUUUUGGUAGUUUUAAAGUUCUAAGGGAUUAUUCAGAUUUAUAACCUGACCCUCUUCCAAGUCCCAUGGCAUUCCUUUCUUUUCUUUCCAGUUAUACAAAGUCUGUGUCUUCCUUUGUUCUUGUAUCUUUAUAUUAUGCUCUCCCUCUUUCAUAUGCUUGUAGAUCCUUGCACUUUUCCAUUAGGACACUUAUCAUAGUUUGUAGUUAUACUGUCUGUGUGACUUAAAAAAAAUUCCUGUGCACCAUCUAGAUUGGAAGCUCCAUGAGAGCAGGGACUUUGUUUCAGUCACUCAAUUCUAUAUUCCCAAAGUCAUUACCAGUGUCUGACAUAUGGUAGAACCUCAAUAAAGGUUGAGUGAAUGGGUUAAUAAAAAAAUG
ensembl:lncRNA